GACGAACGCUGGCGGCGCGCUUAAAACAUGCAAGUCGAACGAGAAGCCCGGGCUUGCCCGGGUGGAAAGUGGCGAACGGGUGCGUAACACGUGAGCAACCUGCCCCGAAGACUGGGAUAACACCGGGAAACCGGUGCUAGUACCGGAUGCCUUCAUCAUGUCGCAUGGCGAGAUGAAGAAAUGGAUUCCGCUUCGGGAUGGGCUCGCAGCCUAUCAGCUUGUUGGUGGGGUAAGGCCUACCAAGGCAACGACGGGUAGCUGGUCUGAGAGGAUGUCCAGCCACACUGGGACUGAGACACGGCCCAGACUCCUACGGGAGGCAGCAGUUAGGAAUCUUGCGCAAUGGGCGAAAGCCUGACGCAGCGACGCCGCGUGCGGGAUGACGG
rnacentral:rRNA from 1 species